UACGGAGGGGACUAGCGUUGUUCGGAAUUACUGGGCGUAAAGCGUGCGCAGGCGGUUAUAUAAGACAGUUGUGAAAUCCCCGGGCUCAACCUGGGAACUGCAUCUGUGACUGUAUAGCUAGAGUACGGUAGAGGGGGAUGGAAUUCCGCGUGUAGCAGUGAAAUGCGUAGAUAUGCGGAGGAACACCGAUGGCGAAGGCAAUCCCCUGGACCUGUACUGACGCUCAUGCACGAAAGCGUGGGGAGCAAACAGG
rnacentral:rRNA from 1 species